CCUACUGGGACAGUAAUGAAAGAAAAUAAACGGAUUCAGAACAGAAAACAUGAUAAAUUUUACGAUUCGAGACGGAUUUGGGACAGGAAACGGAAAAAAUUUUGACCUAUCCCGAAUCCGUUGGCCCGCCGUAAUCCGCAUUAAAAAAUCAUUUAUAUUUUUAAAAAAUAUUACUAAAAAAUAAUAUAUUUACAAAAAAGGUCAAAAUAUAAAUAAGUUAGCACUCUUAUUUCUAAUGCAUUUGAAACUUUUGAAUUUUGUUUUGAAUUGUUAUUGAUAUUUUUAAUUUUUAUAAUUAAUAUUAUUAAAUUAUAUAUAUAAUAUUAUUAAAAAUUAUUAAUUUAUAUUUUUAUAAAAUAUUAAUAAUAUUAUAAUUUUAUAAAAAAUAUUAGUGGGCGGGACGGAUUCGGGGCGUCGGCAGGUUACGAGGCAGAACGAAUUGUGAGAUAUAUUUUUUAACCCGUUACGGAUUCGAGACGGAAGGCAGGGUGAGAUUUUACUUAUCGGGGUGGGAGGCGGGGCGAGACUCCCGCUUCCAUAUCCGCCCGGUUUGCAUUCCUAUUGUUUAGUCAAACUUUUUGCACAUUUCCUUUUCGUUGUUCGAAAGAAUAAGGGGUUGGGGGGUUUUUUUAAUAAAAAAAAAUAU
rnacentral:lncRNA from 1 species